UACAGAGGUGGCGAGCGUUACUCGGAUUUAUUGGGUGUAAAGGGCAAGUAGGCGUCUUAACAAGUUGGGGGUGAAAUCCUGCAGCUCAACUGCAGAACUGCUCUCAAAACUGUUGAGAUUGAGACUGGAAGAGGAAAGCGGAAUUCUCGGUGUAAGAGUGAAAUCUGUAGAUAUCGAGAGGAACACCAGUGGCGAAGGCGGCUUUCUGGUCCAGUACUGACGCUGAGUUGCGAAAGCUAGGGGAGCAAACAGG
rnacentral:rRNA from 1 species